GCUCUCCUUUUUGACGGCGUUGACACGAAGUUAUUCUAUGCCACUGGAAACAACGUGCAUCACUUGACCUACUCGCACUCGAGCGGCGCGCAGACCAAUCUUCUGUAUAAAUCCGUUUUGCCUAUUAAUUCUCUGGACUUGCUAAACUCGGAGCUUGUUUUAGCUACGGACUCUCAAUUGGUUAUUUUAGAACUGGCUACCGUUUAGCAUCGAAGUGUUUGCUUUAUGUGUGGAAAGAAAGUUCACGUUCAUACUAAAUAGUCCUUGCUAAAGCCCGUUAACGACGCACUCUGUCAAACUUUAACUAGUUCGUUGCGCUGGUGGCGCCCGCCUCCAGAGUCUACGAGCGACUUUUAAUAACAUGC